CGCCGUGCCUCCUUCCACCCGGCCGCGGGACGGGCUGCCAGGAGUGCUGCGGGCCGAGCUGUGCUGGAGGCGAGCUCCGCUCCGCCCGGCCCGGCGGCAGCGCUGGGGCGCAGCACGGCGGGGAGCCCGGCGCGGACGGACGGGACCGACCCCGCUUGCAGAGCGCGGCAGGAACGGAGUAGGAAACCUCUGUGCGGUGACAAGCCCCAACAUCACAGCCCUACUAAGCCCGCAAACUACUCGGUGAUAGAUGCCUAAGACAACACCUUUUAGGUAUUUAGGCCUCAGUUAGCUGCAGCUGUUGUUUUUUCAUGCCAUUCAUACCGAGGAACUCACUCAAGUUUGCAAGAAUUUUGUACUCAGUCUCAGAUUACGACUUCAUAUAAAAUGAAGGCUCUAAACCAAAUACUUUCUCAAAAAUUAAUUUAAACUUAUUAAUUUUAUAAAAGUCAAUCUUUUACUAAAAAAGUCGACUUUAACAAAAUCAGAAUUGUAUGCUUAUGAAAAUCUAUUCCCUUCUUUGGCAGCAAUCAUAUAAGUUGUCCCUUAUUGUCUAGUUCAUGGCUAAAACAAUAAAAUUUCUGCUUAUUUUG